GACAGGUUUGGUCCCAGCCUUUCUGUUAAUUUUUAAUAGAAUUACACAUGCAAGUAUCCACACCCCAGUGAGAAUGCCCUCUAAAUCACCCGGAUCAAAAGGAGCGGGUAUCAAGCACACCAUACACCGUAGCUCAAAACGCCCUGCUCAGCCACACCCCCACGGGAAACAGCAGUGACCAAAAUUAAGCCAUGAACGAAAGUUUGACUAAGCCAUAUUAACCAGAGUUGGUAAAUCUCGUGCCAGCCACCGCGGUCAUACGAUUGACUCAAACUAACAGAAAUACGGCGUAAAGCGUGUUAAAGAAUUAAAAGUACAAAUAAAGUUAAAUUCUAACUAAACUGUAAAAAGCCCUAACUAGAAUAAAAAUCUACUACAAAAGUGACUUUAACAAUACUGACCACACGAUAGCUAAGACCCAAACUGGGAUUAGAUACCCCACUAUGCUUAGCCCUAAACACAGAUAAUUCCAAAAACAAAACUAUUCGCCAGAGUACUACUAGCAACAGCUUAAAACUCAAAGGACUUGGCGGUGCUUCAUACCCCUCUAGAGGAGCCUGUUCUAUAAUCGAUAAACCCCGAUAAACCUCACCAACCCUUGCUAAUCCAGUCUAUAUACCGCCAUCUCCAGCAAACCCUAAAAAGGACUAAAAGUAAGCUCAACUAUUACACAUAAAGACGUUAGGUCAAGGUGUAACCUAUGGGCUGGGAAGAAAUGGGCUACAUUUUCUAGAACAAGAACACAACCCACCCGAACGAAAACUCCUAUGAAAGCUAGGAACUAAAGGAGGAUUUAGUAGUAAAUCAAGAGUAGAGUGCUUGAUUGAACAAGGCCAUGAAGCACGCACACACCGCCCGUCACCCUCCUCAAAUAACACAAACCCAUAAACAUAAUAGCUAGACAAAACCAAAUGAGAGGAGACAAGUCGUAACAAGGUAAGCAUACUGGAAAGUGUGCUUGGACAAAU
rnacentral:ncRNA from 1 species